rnacentral:rRNA from 1 species
UACGUAGGGGGCAAGCGUUGUCCGGAAUUAUUGGGCGUAAAGAGCGUGUAGGCGGCCAGAUAAGUCCGCUGUGAAAUCUCGAGGCUCAACUUCGAGCUGUCGGUGGAAACUAUCUGGCUAGAGUCCGGAAGAGGAGAAUGGAAUUCCUGGUGUAGCGGUGAAAUGCGCAGAUAUCAGGAGGAACACCCGUGGCGAAGGCGGUUCUCUGGGACGGUACUGACGCUGAGACGCGAAAGCGUGGGGAGCGAACAGG